UUUGGUGGCGAUGCGCCUGGGGGAAACACCCGUACCCAUCCCGAACACGAUGGUUAAGCCCCAGACGGCCGAUGGUACUGCACUGGUGACGGUGUGGGAGAGCAGGUGGCCGCCAAAUUUAAAA
rnacentral:rRNA from 1 species